CAACAGCACAUUUACAAUUUGUGUGACAACUCAUGGAUCCUGUUUCCCAGCAUCUCUCGUAGUCUCGUGUGACUAUGUGAUAACUAGCAAGUGGUACAUCAGUAGACGUGAGAUAUGCCACCUCUCAGGUCAUGACCAUGCCCCCCUAGUUUGUGCAAGGCUUGGUCUUCCCUCAGGUAUGGAGUUUUUCAUACUAACUGUACUAUAACUCAAGGACAAUUAGGUUGACUAGUCACUCUGCUUCCUGACAUAACCAUUAAAACCCCUCAAAUAACUGGGAGGUUGUGGUGAUGUUUUGCUUUUUUGUUUUUAUUUCUUUUUCCUUCCUUCCACCUCUUUAAAUAGACACUGAUGACAAGGUUCUUAACUGUGCUUGAACAUGGCACAACCACGUGCCCACCUGAGUGGCCACAGCAAGAAGCUAUGUGGCUGUCACUCUAGUGACUGCCAUACCUCUCAGGACAUCUGGACUUCAGUUGAGUGAGAAGUAACUUGACGAACUUCUGACUCCUCACUUGUUUCUAUCCCCAUGCCCUUGUCCUGACUGAUAAAGAUAUAUUCUGCAAAGUUAAACUAGACACAAAGUUAAACUAGAUAUUUUGCAAUUGUCUAAGCUAGGGUUACAUGGAAUUUAUUUGGCCUACAUAUCACUAGUCAUCAUCAAAAGAAGUGAGAACAGGAACUCAAAAAGGGCAAGAACUUGGAAGCAGGAACUGAUGCAGAGGCCAUGGAGAUGUGAUGACUCUUGCUUGUAUUAAAUUUAUAUAAUAUAAGUCAGUGCAACUGACCUCUUGUUAACUUUACACACAAACACAUCACUGUUAAGCCACAACCUCUCCUUUCUUAGUCAUCCCCAAGAUCACGCAUUCAUAAAAAUAUCAUCCAACAUUUUACAGUCUUAGUAAGUCUCACAGCCUUUAAAAAUUCAAUCACUUAAAAAUUCACUCUCCCUUCCAACCCCUUACCUGCUGCAGUACUCAAGAGAGUGGGCCCUGGGCAACAUGGUAGAGGUGGCCCUGGUGGCUAAGGUGAGGGUGAGUCAGCCCCUCACUGGGUCAGCAUUGGGUGAGCUAUCCAGGGCAGAACUGGCUGUGUGUGUGUGUGUGUGUGUGUGUGUGAGAGAGAGAGAGAGAGAGAGAGAGAGAGAGAGAGAGAGAGAGAGAGAGAGAGAACUAUCAGGCUACCACGCAGGCCCAGAUCCAAAGCUUUGAGUUCGCCCACCCUAACAUCUACCUCAUCUAUGAACUGUUGGGGUGUGAAAAAGGGCAAGUCCUGCAGAGCCAAAGCUCCAGGAUCUCCAUGACAUAGGACAACAACAGGAUAACCAAGAGGAGUCCCGGUAAAGAUCUCAUAUUGCUAAUGUAGCAGAAGCCAGAGGCCUUGAGUCAUUAUUGAAUCAUUAUUCAUUACAAUGAACAUUUAUAAGUAAAGAUGAGGGGAUAAAAGGUAUACUAUGAGACACAUUGUGACAUACUAUAGCUUCCACUAUAAGAUGUUUUUAUGGUUUUAUGUUUUUGUUUUGUUUUUUAUUUUCUUUUGAGGAGGAGGUUGCAAGGGUUGAGGGUGGAUAUGUAGGGUUUGGAAGAUGAGAAUGAUUGGGGUGCAUGAUGUGAAACUCACAAAGAAUCAAUAGUUUUUUAUUGGUUAUUUUGUUUAUUUACAUUUCAAAUGUUAUCCUCCUUCCUGGUUUCCUCUCCCAAAACCCCCUAUUCCACCUCCCACCCCCUCCUCCAGAAGGGUGCUCUCCCAUCCACCCACCCACUCCCACCCCCAUGCUCUACCAUUCCCCUACACUGGGGCAUCAAGCCUUCACAGGACCAAGGGCCUCCCCUCCCUCUAAUGCCAGAUAAGGCCAAGGCAGCCAGAGCCAUGGGUAUCCCUUGUAUACUCUUUGGUUGGUGGUUUAGUCCCUGGGAGCUCUGGCUGAUCUGGUUGGUUGAUAUUGUUGUUCUUCCUAUGGGGUUGCAAACCCCUUUAGCUCCUUCAGUCUUUCCCCUAAGUCCUCCAUUGGGGUACCCCUGCUCAGUAUGAUGGUUGGCUAUAAGCAUCCCCAUCUGUAUCAGUAAGGCUCAGGAGACAUCCAUUUCAGCUUCUGUUAGCAAGCACUUCUUGGCAUCAGCAAUAGUGUCUGAGUUUGAUGGCUACAUAUGGGAUGGAUCCUGAGGUGGGACAGUCUCUGAAUAGCCUUUUUUGCAGUCUCUGUUCCACUCUUUGUCCCCGUAUUUCCUUAAGACAGGAGCAAUUCUGGGUUAAAAAUUUGAGAAGGGUAGGUGGCCCCUUUUUGAAAAUCACUCUUUAUAAUAUCCAGUCUCCUUUAAAAUAUAAAGUCUUUUAAAAUCCAAAGUCUCUCAAUGGUGGGCUUCUGUAAAAUCAAAAAUAAAGCCUUUCUUACUUCGAUGGGGAAGAACCAGGGCCAAGUUUGGUUGUCAAAGUAAAGCAAAACCAAACUACAACAAUGUAAGUCACUUAAUGUUCAAUGUGUGGGAUGUCCACGAUGUCUGGACUCCUCCAAAGGGCUUGGAUCACAUCUUUCUCUUUGUACUCUGUAGCACACAGCUUAUCUCCUAGGCUCCAGCUGGCUCUAUUCCUCCACUGCUGUUGUUCUUGGUGGUCAUCCCAUAGUUCUGGCAUCUCCAAAACUGUGGGAUAUUCUGUAGUACCUGGGGUUCACUUUCACCAUUAGAUUUUCUGGGCUUCUCUUCAGCCGUGCCACACAGUGCCAAGCUCCAGCUCUUCUCCAUGACCCCUUUCUUCAUGUCUUCAAAACUUGGAUGACUCUUAAAAUACCAAGUUUGGAUGCCAACAGGAUUUACAACCUGGGCCAGUUCUGGACCACAGCUUCUGUGUGAUGACCCUAAGGAAACUCUUCCCAGAAGAUUUCACUUCAGUGAGGCCGGUCUCUUAUUUCGAGUAAUCAGAGGUGACUCUUCAGCCAAAGUUGAUCAGCAUCUAUUGUUGUAGCAAAGGUUUUAUUUUAGUGGUUCUUGUCUCUUGAUAAUCAUAGCCAAUUCUUCAGCUCCAGAUGACCAGACACCACAGAUUCUUGACACAAAUGGCCCUUUUGUGGUUUUUGCUUCCCUCUGAAACAUCACAAGCCAGGCCUCCAUCUUCUGCACUGCUCCCAACGUUCUUAUCUUCCAAGCUCCCAUAGAACAGCUCACUGAGCUCUCAACAUGUAAUGACUUUCCUAUCCUGAAGUUCCAAAGUCCUUCUACAAUCCUCCCAAACACAUGGCCAUAACUGUCACAGCAAUAUCCAACUGUCUUGGCACCAAAUUGCCUUAGUUAGGGUUAUUCUUGCUGUGAUGAAACACCCUGGCCAAGUGAACUUUGGAAGAAAGGGUUUAUUUUACUCACAGUUCUGUAUAGCAGUUCAUCUGUAAAGGUAAGAACUUAAGCAGGAAAGGAACCUGGAGGCAGGAAUUAAUGCAGGGACCAUGGAGAAGUGCAUCUCUCUGGCCUGCUUAUCAUGGCUUGCUCAGCCUGCUCUUUUAUGGAACCUAGAACCAACAGGCCAGGAAUGUAUGACCUACAAGGGCCUAGGCCCUCACCCACCAAUCACUAACUAAGAAAAAGCCCUACAGCUGUAUCUAUGGAGGCAAUUCUUCUCAAUUUAGGCUCCCUCCUCUCUGAUGACUCUAGCUUAUACCAAUUUUACAUAAAACCAGCUACUACACAAACUUAGAGUAAAGUACAUCUAAAAUAUACAGGCCAAUUCACUGGAGAAGUUUUAUAAGAGGGAGUUUUAGAAGAAAUAAAAGACAAGAAAGAAACUGCUGAUAAACCUAGUUUAAGUCCACCAUGACAUAGUCUAAAAUGUACCUUCAUGAUUCAUAGUAUCAUCAUAAAAUGUCCCACGCCAACAAUUCAACAUUGCAGAAUGGUAUGGAGGGCAAAACAUGAAGUUAGAAUUUAACACACAUGGAUUCAUACCUGAAAGACCCCCUCCCAGAAAGGGAAUUGUACAAGCCCAAGGCCCUCAACUAUAGAAGUAAAAAGUAAGUUUUUAGAUAUGUGGGACAAGCUGACCCAUCAUUUAGACGAAACAGACCAUAAAAGAAAACAAAAUGCAGAAACCAGACUAAAUUAUGGGCACUACUCCAUGGGCCACCUGACAGGAAAAAGAAAAAGUCCCUGACCCCCCGGAAGCCCUGACCACCAUGUACUUUUUGCUAACUCAUUGUUAUGAUUAUAGCCAAAAUAAGUAACAUACACGUAUGCCUCAUUUACUCCACCAAUCACAUCCCUGUAACUAUGCAUCUGCUUCUGUAAGUCUGCUUCUGCUCCCCAAUGCCUUAUAAAAACCCGUCCCUGGCUCUGCUAGGCGCGCCAGUCUUCCGAAUUGACUGGGACGCCCACAGAUACCUGUGUAUCCUGAUCAAUAAAAAUCCUCUUGCUGAUUGCAGCCUGUGGACUCGGACUGGUCAUUGGGCUUGAGGAUCUCCCUCCUGAGGGAAGAUUCUCUCUGAGAGUCUUACAUAUGGGGGCUCGUCCGGGAUCGGAGAUCCUCUGCCUAGAGACCACCGACCACCCACCGGGAGUAACUGUUACAGGUCUUCUUUACCACUGAGGAAAGAUGGAAUCCUACUGGAGGCCAGAAAGAAUGUUCCAGACAUGGAUGGAAGACCCUCACUCCUGACUGUUGACUUGAAUACCCCUGAAGGUAGGGAGUGCUCAGGGUCUGCCACCAGGCUCCAAGGGUGGGUCUCCGAGGGGCUGGAAAAUGCCCCACCAAUCUGGCUAAGAUAAGAAAAAGAUAUAAAGAGAGAAAGUUACAAAAAUUUAAAGGGUUAAGCUAAGUUGCUGAGAGUUAGUGUAAGUUGCAGAGAAAGUAAAGUUGAAGUGUAGUUACAUAAGUGGACAGCAUCUAAUAGCUGUAGAGGAAGAUGCAGAAGAUAUGAGAGAGAGACUGAGGAAGAGAAAGAGGAAAGAAGGUAAAAAGAGCAGGAAGCUAAGGAAGAAAAGAGACAAAAGGAAAAAAAAGCUAGAGAGCUAAAGAGGGAUAAAAGACAGGAGAGGAAUAUAUACUGGCCACAGUAGUUAGGAAACCUAGGAAGACAGUACCUGGCAACAGAAGAGAAUUCCUAGCUAAAGAUCAGUGUGCCUAUCGCAAGGAAAAAGGACACUGGGUCAGGGACUGCCCCAGGAAGAACAAGAAGGGCCUCUCCAGCAACCCGGAAGGCAAGCCUCUUGGUUCUAGAGUGCUGGCUAUGCGCUAAGAUAGAAGGGAAGCCGGCCCAGUUGUUUUGUGAAUACAGGGGCCCAACACUCUGUGCUCCUACGCCCAAAUGGGCUAGUGUCAAGCAAAAGACCUUGAGUGCAAGGGGCUACUGGCAACAAAUGAUACUCAUGGACUACCCGAAGAACGGUGGAGCUUGGCGUGGGCCGGGUAUCCCACUUGUUCCUUGUGAUUCCAGACUGCCCCUACGAGUCUAAACCCUGCAACCCUGCUCCCGGACCCCGACCUAGACACCCCCCUUCAUGACUGUCAGCAGGUGCUCACUAAAGCACAGGAGUGGCAUAAAGAUCUGACUGACCAGCCACCAGAGGGGGUAGAUGCCAUCUGGUUCAUAGAUGGGAGCAGCUUCUUAGAGAAGAAAAAAGAUGGGCUGGGGCAACAGUGGUAGAUGGAAACAGAAUCAUAUGGGCUCAGGCCCUACCAGAAGGCACUUCUACUCAGAGGGUAGAGCUCGCUCCCCUCACCAAAGCCCUUGGGCUGAGAAAGAGACUUAACAUCUAUGUGGACAGCACGUAUGCCUUUGCUACAGCCCAUCAGCAGAGGGGCCUGCUGACAUCUGAGGGCAAGAAAAAAAGAGAUUCUGGCUAUGUUAAGGACCCUCUAUGACCCAGCCAGGCUGAGGAAGAGACUCUGCUACACCUCAACGAGAAAGAAGAUCCUGCUACAAUUUUUACAGGCAGAGGCAUGGUAAAACAAAUGCAUCAAUAGACUCACUUAGGGGUAAGCAAACUCAUCCAGACGUUUUCAAAAACUAAAUAUUAUGUCACAGGUCUCAAGUAUCUCGUGGAACAGAUAGUGCACUGAUGUAUACCAUGCCAAAAGGUAACUGUUUUCAGGAAAGUUGACUCUGGUAGGAGGCUCCGUGGGGAACGGCCUGGAUACUACUGAGAAGUGGACUUCACAGAGAUAAAACCAGGAAAAUAUGGUUAUAAAUGUCUCCUAGUGUUUAUAGAUAUCUUUUCAGGAAUAGGUAGAAGCUUUCCCCACCAAGCAAGAGACGGCCUCAAUAGUCAUCAAGAAGAUACUGGAAGAAAUCUUCCCCCGAUUUAGAAUGCCCAAGGUAAUCUGGUCAGACAACAGCCCUACUUUCAUUGCCAAGGUAAGCCAGGGUGUGGCCAAGUAUUUAGAGGUCAAUUGAAAAUUACGUUAUAUUUACAGACCUCAAAGUUCAGGACAGGUAGAAUAAAUAAAUAAAAUUUUAAAAGAGACCCUGACCAAAUUAACCAUGGAGACUGGCACAGACUGGGUGACACUCCUUCCCUCUUGCUCUCUUUAGAGCAAGAAAUACCCCUUCCAGAUUCAGCUUUACCCCCUUUGAGAUCUUAUAUGGGGCCUCAGCUCCCCUGACUAUAUUAGAUGAUGUUACUGAACCAACAUGUCAUAGUAAUAAUGAUUUAUAUGCCAGGCUAAAAGACCUACAGGUGAUACAGAAAGAAAUCUGCUCACAGCCGACAGCAGCCUAUGCCCCGGAGACCCCCGAGACAUGUCAUCAGUUCCAGGUUAGAGACUGCAGCUACACUGAGCCCAGACACUCGAGCCUCGCUAGAAAGGACCGUACCUGGUGCUGCUGACCACCCUGACAGCCAUCAAGUCUCAGCCCUCACCAGCAGCGUACUAGCUGUUGGGGCUAAGAGCUGGGACCUAGAGGGACACUCAGAUCUUCAAAAAGCUCCCUAGACUUAAGUGAUUGAGAGGUUGCUAUAAUGCUCACUUGAGGAGUGUGUUUUAGAAACAAGAAUUUCAUGUUUGCCUGUUUGCCCUGGGUUCCCUCGGAAUAGGUGUAAGGAUAGGCUUGAUUUUUAUUGCAAAUGAUGUAAUAUUACAUAUGUUAGUACUCCUAACACUUCUUGGGACUGUACCUCAGGGAUCACAAUCUGUAUAAGUUUAGAAGUUCUAAAAGACCUUGGUGUAUAGGUUCAGAUAGUGUCCAGAUUAGAAUCCUGAUGCUAAAGACUUAAUAAGACACAAAAGAGAGUUGAGAAUUAUUUAAGGCUAUCUAGGUGCUACAAGGGCAGCACAAGGACAUCUUCAGUUGCCCUACAAUGCAAAAAAGAAUAAAAAAGACUUUUUAGCUGACCUCCAAGAAUACCUAACCUCCCUCUCAGAGGUAGUCCUUCAAAAUAGGAAAAGAUUAGACCUGAUAUUCCUUAAAGAAAGAGUCUGUGUGCUACACUAAAAGAAGAAUGUUGUUUCUAUGCAGAUCAGACAGGAAUAGUAAGAGAUACAGACUUUCAGUCAUUCAAACUUUUGUGCAGAGACAACAGUAUCAGAUGGUGGAAAAAAAAAAAAACAGAGGUACCUUAACCAAGUUGAGUGGAAGAUUCCACUCAAGGACAAAAAAAGAAAAUGGGGGAAUGAAAGACCCCCUCCCAGAAAGGGAAUUGUACAAGCCCAAGGCCCUCAACUAUAGAAGUAAAAAGUAAGUUUUUAGAUAUGUGGGACAAGCUGACCCAUCAUUUAGACGAAACAGACCAUAAAAGAAAACAAAAUGCAGAAACCAGACUAAAUUAUGGGCACUACUCCAUGGGCCACCUGACAGGAAAAAGAAAAAGUCCCUGACCCCCCGGAAGCCCUGACCACCAUGUACUUUUUGCUAACUCAUUGUUAUGAUUAUAGCCAAAAUAAGUAACAUACACGUAUGCCUCAUUUACUCCACCAAUCACAUCCCUGUAACUAUGCAUCUGCUUCUGUAAGUCUGCUUCUGCUCCCCAAUGCCUUAUAAAAACCCGUCCCUGGCUCUGCUAGGCGCACCAGUCUUCCGAAUUGACUGGGACGCCCACAGAUACCUGUGUAUCCUGAUCAAUAAAAAUCCUCUUGCUGAUUGCA